UGUAAGCGUAUACCAAAGUUGUUGCAGUUAAAACGCUCGUAGUCGGAAUUUGGCAGUUCCGGAAGUGUGCACGUCGUGUGCGCACUUUGCGGGGACUGCUUUUGUGGUCUUGCGUAGGAUGAGGCACUUUCAUUAGUGAACGUCCUCACGCAACCACUCUUUACUGUGAGAAAAUCAGAGUGCUCAAAGCAGGCAUUUGCCGUGAAUGUAUUAGCAUGGAAUAAUAGAAUAGGACUCGGUUCUAUUUUAUUGGUUUGUUGGGACUGAGUAAUGAUUAAGAGGGACAGUUGGGGGCAUUUGUAUUCCGGCGCUAGAGGUGAAAUUCUUAGAUUGCCGGAAGACAAACUGCUGCGAAAGCGUCUGCCAAGGAUGUUUUCAUUGA
rnacentral:rRNA from 1 species